rnacentral:misc_RNA from 1 species
GGAUUUAUUCCCAUUGCAGUUAAAGCAAAAACUAAAAGAUCGCAAGAUCCCAGAAUUUACACACUACAUGAUCGUAACUCGUAAGCAACAUAUUCACAGAAGAAAAUUCAAAGACAACUUCUUCAAACUCUACUCUACAUUCCCGCAACCGCUUUCUUAGCCCUCUUCGCAGCAGGGGCCUUAAUUGAUUUCGGCUGUUUUGGCUUCGCCGGAGUUGAUCUUUUCGGUUUCUUUGCAACAACCUUCUUCGCCGCCUCGUCCUUCUUCACCGCCUUCCUCUUCCUUCCGGUAGUUCUCGUCGUUCUUGCUUGUUUAGUUUUCUUCUCUGCGUUCGCUUUUGCCACCUUCGUUGCGUCCUUGUCCUUUUUCUUUCCCGUUUCGGACAGCUUAUACGAUGCCUUGAUCUUCGUUAAUUUUCCUUUAGCGGUGGAAUUCUUCAAUUGAAGAGCCAAGAUUUUCCUGAAAUUCGCAGGAAGAACCGCCUUGUGUUUCUCCUCCAUGUAUUUGGCUAUAGCGUACGGACUCGAUCCAUUCUUCUCGUUGAGCGACGAGAUUGCUUCAUUAAUCAUCUGAAAGUACGGUGGAUGUGAAGCAACUUUAGACUGCCUAGGCUUCUUCUCCCUCGGAGCCCUAGGUUUCUUCUCCUUCACCGGCGGCUUCUCAGCCUCCUUCGGCUCCUCUGCAGCCGGAACCUCCACAGGAGGAACAUCCUCCGCCGGAACUUUAACUUCAGCCUCUCCGGUUGACGACAUGAUCAAAAUUUUCAC